rnacentral:rRNA from 1 species
CCUACGGGGGGCAGCAGUGAGGAAUAUUGGUCAAUGGACGCAAGUCUGAACCAGCCACGCCGCGUGCAGGAAGACGGCUCUAUGAGUUGUAAACUGCUUUUGUACGAGGGUAAACGCAGAUACGUGUAUCUGUCUGAAAGUAUCGUACGAAUAAGGAUCGGCUAACUCCGUGCCAGCACCCGCGGUAAUACGGAGGAUUCAAGCGUUAUCCGGAUUGGUUGGGUUUAAAGGGUGCGUAGGCGGUCGGUUAAGUUAGAGGUGAAAUCCCGAGGCUCAACUUUGGAAUUGCCUGUGAUACUGUUCGGCUAGAGUGUAGUUGCGGUAGGCGGAAUGUAUGGUGUAGCGGUGAAAUGCUUAGAGAU